rnacentral:tRNA from 1 species
GGAGGGGUGCCGGAGCGGUUGAACGGGACGGUCUCGAAAAUCGUUGUGGGGAGUGAUCCCCAUCCAGGGUUCGAAUCCCUGCCCCUCCG